UAUAACAUGCUGUAGGGAGUGGUCUAUUGGCAACCUCCACAACAGGCAUUGAAGAAGGCUGCAGAGCUUGUUUGGGAGCCUUCAAUCAGUCGCUAUGGGGCUGAUGAAGGUAUACCUGAGCUGAGAGAGGCCCUGACAAGAAAGUUGAAUGAGGAAAAUAAACUGUACAAGUCCUCUGUGAUGGUUACAGCCGGUGCAAAUCAGGCAUUCGUUAACCUUGUUCUUACAUUGUGUGAUGCUGGGGAUUCUGUGGUUAUGUUUGCUCCGUAUUACUUCAAUGCCUACAUGUCUUUUCAAAUGACUGGUGUCACUAAUAUAUUGGUUGGUCCCGGUGACCCAAAAACACUUCAUCCUGAUCCAGAUAAUUGAAGUGAUAUCGGGUUGAAAGCUAAGCGAUUGUGUAGAAAUGGUCAAGCGACCGUUGAAAAUUGAAGACUGAGAAGGCAUUUAGGAUUUUUAAUUAUUUAAUUCUUGUAUUAGAAUUUUUUUUCAUGUACUAUUGUAGAAAUGUAUAUAUAAACAAUAUUUUAUUUUGUGUAUUCAAAUGUAAAAGACAAAUGUUAUAGUUUCUAACAUAGUAUGAAUUUCAUUGAUUUGUUGGCGUGUGAAAA